UCCGGUUUGGCACCGGCGGUCUCCCAUGAGUCCCCGGCAUCACCCGCUGGCAACAUGGGACAGGGGUUGCGCUCGUUGCGCCACUUAAGGCAACACCUCACGGCACGAGCUGACGACAGCCAUGCAGCACCUGUGCUAGCCCCCGAAGGACACGGGCUUUCACCCGCUUUAACUAGCAUGUCAAGCCCAGGUAAGGUGGGGAUGACGUUUCGGCAUUAGCCA
rnacentral:misc_RNA from 1 species